rnacentral:piRNA from 1 species
UAAGUAUUUUAGAUUUAUUUU